UAGAGUUUUGAUCCCUGGCUACAGAACGAACGCUGGCGGCAGGCCUAACACAUGCAAGUCGAGCGCGCCCUUUCGGGGGUGAGCGGCGGACGGGUGAGUAACGCGUGGGAAUAUGCCCUUUGCUGCGGAAUAGCCUCGGGAAACUGAGAGUAUACCGCAUACGCCCUUUCGGGGGGAAAGAUUUAUCGGCGAAGGAUUAGCCCGCGUUGGAUUAGGUAGUUGGUGGGGUAAUGGCCUACCAAGCCGACGAUCCAUAGCUGGUUUUGAGAGGAUGAUCAGCCACACUGGGACUGAGACACGGCCCAGACUCCUACGGGAGGCAGCAGUGGGGAAUCUUAGACAAUGGGGGCAACCCUGAUCUAGCCAUGCCGCGUGAGUGAUGAAGGCCUUAGGGUUGUAAAGCUCUUUCAGCUGGAAAGAUAAUGACGGUACCAGCAGAAGAAGCCCCGGCUAACUCCGUG
rnacentral:rRNA from 1 species